AUUUCUAGAUGAUGGAAGAGCAGUGAAAGAUCUUUGAAGAGCCGAAUGUUCAGAAUCAACAGAUACCAAUGAAGCAUCUGUAUCUCCUGACGAGAAAU
rnacentral:snoRNA from 15 species